AAAGAAAAAAAAAAUACAUAUAUAUAUACACAUUGGCCUGGAGAGGUGUGGGGAUGAGCAUAGUUUUUUGCUUUCUAGCUACCAUAGGAAAAUAAGUGGUCCUGGCCCCCUCCCUCCAUCACUGACUAUGCAGGUUUGUUCCACCAUCCCCUCUCCUGCCACUUUCCUCUUCUUUCCACUUCUAUCUCUCAGAAAAAUUACUCUUGUAAACUUUACGUAUCAUUUUAUGUUCUGCAUUUAAAGGGAGAGGAACAUGUUUGGUAGCAAUUUUAUUUUCCUCCCCAGAGCAAACUCUUCCUAGAUUUCUCUCGAUGUUUCUCUGAUGCUCCUACCCACUCUUGCUGUUUUAUUACCUUCACUGCCACACUCUGUUCUUUGCUCUUUCUUCUAUUUUUCUCUCCUGAAAUCAUGGCCCCCAGAGAGUACGUACAUGACACAUUCAUGAAGUUGAUCUCUGUCCUAUCCCCUCUCCUGUGCCCAUCCCAGGCUGUUUGUUUCUUUGAUUUUAAAAUUAUAUUCCUAGCAUGAAAUCCAUUAGUGUGAGGUGUCCAGGAAAUGCACAUGUGGAGGGUUAUCCUUUCUAUAAGUAUAUUUCCUAUCACCUGGAAAGCAUCCUGAAGGGCCCUGUUCCCUCUUUCUCUACUGUUGUUUUUUUUUGUUGCUAAUUUUGUUAUUUUUCUUCUUUUUUAUUAUCAUGCAAAUUUGAAAGCGACAGAGGGGGAAACAGAGGAGGCUUAUAAAAAGAAGAGACAGAGGAUAUUGGAGGGAUCUCCUUUCAGUCUCAUAAGGAUUCAUAGCAUGUCAAAGUCCAUGCUGAGAGCUAAGAAAGAGCCCUAUGGAACUCCUCUAUGACAAGGGACAUAAAAGGUCCAAAAGGACACAACUACAAGACACAGGACUCAAACUCCGUCUGGCUUUAUUGAAUGUGGUAACUCCCAGCAUUUACGAACAUUAACAGGGUCUGCAGAAGCCACCCUCAGCGUUGACAGCAUGGCUCCCUUUGGUACCAGCAUGGUCCCUUGGGUACCAGCAUGGCUCCCUUUGGCACAAAGGUUACAGCUUCCAGGAAUCAGAAAAAGUGAUGCCAAUUUAAAGGAUUUUCAUAGUCAGAUAUUUUGCUCUGAAGAAACUUCGUUAGAUAUAAAUAAAAUUAAUAUUGAAUCCCUGCUUUACCUUUGAUUUUUAUUUCCUCAAUUUAAAUCCCC
rnacentral:lncRNA from 1 species